rnacentral:rRNA from 1 species
CCUACGGGAGGCAGCAGUGGGGAAUAUUGGGCAAUGGAGGCAACUCUUACCCAGCAAUGCCGCGUGAAUGAAGAAGGUCUUCGGAUUGUAAAGUUCUUUAAUUGGGGACGAAAAUGACGGUACCUGGGGAGGAAUCUGCGUCUAACUACGUGCCAGCAGCCGCGGUAAUACGUAGGGAGCGAGCGUUGUCCGGAAUUACUGGGUGUAAAGGGAGCGUAGGCGGGGAUGCAAGUUGGGUGUCAAAACUACCGGCUCAACUGGUAGUCGCACUCAAAACUGCAGCUCUUGAGUGAAGUAGAGGCAGGCGGAAUUCCUAGUGUAGCGGUGAAAUGCGUAGAUAUUAGGAGGAACACCAGUGGCGAAGGCGGCCUGCUGGGCUUUUACUGACGCUGAGGCUCGAAAGUGUGGGGAGCAAACAGGAUUAGAUACCCCUGUAGUC